UUAUAAUUUAAAAAUACUUUAUAAUUUAUAAUUUUGAAUAUUUUUACAGAAGUUGAGAUCCUCAAUUCUGACUCAAUAAUUUUGAGCUUCUCACAAAUUCCAAAAUGCUGCAAGGUAAAACGGAUAAAGCAAAAGCAAUAAUGGGGGGAUUAUACCCUAGAUUGUCUCAAAAGAGUUGCUACCACUAUUCAGUCUUUGAAUUUUACAGAACACAUAUGAGCUAGAAGGAAUUCUGCAUCCAACCGGCUCCACAAUGUACCCAUUUGAAGCUGGAAUAUUAUGAAAGAUAAUUCAGUCAAUGAAGAAAUGCCAAGAGAUAUAUAUAAUUCAACAAUCCCUCG
rnacentral:lncRNA from 1 species